UGAUGAGAGCCGGUUGGACUCAAAUUGGUUUUGAAAGGAUUGGGUGACCUCCCCUCGUCAUUGCAGCCAAAUGUUAUCAUCUCUCCAGACUCUGAGAGACAGACUGUGUGCAUUCCUCCUGCACACAGGUCUAUCACAUGAUCUACACUUGACAGGAGUGCUGGGCUGCCUCGUUCCAAUACGCUUUCUCCUAGACCAAGCUGCCCUACGUCACCCUGUCCGAACGCAUGCUGUUCACUUAUGUUGCAGAGAUUUCCUGCAGCAUUACUAAUCAACAUAUAAGUUUUUCCAGUAAAAGUAAUUUUCCUACAUUUUAACUAUCAGAUGGUUGAUUAUUGAUUUUUCUGAUGAAGGCCAAUUCGCUGGUUAAAUUGGGCCUAGUCAGAAAGGAAGAAAUACUUUUGGCUCUGUAUCAAUAUGGACACCCUGGGGGAGCCCGGGGUGGCCCGGGCCAGAGAGGAAACUCACCAGCCAGAAAGUCCACGUAUGGAGCUGUAAUGGGAUCGCGCAUGAAGAGUGGGAGCUGCCUUAUGGCAGACCGGAAGUCACCUGCGAUCGGAGUUACCGGCACCUGUACUACGACAACGGCCUGAGCCUUGGGAGUUUGUUCUCCUUUUGAAUUGAUAUACAUAUGUACAUUUUGUUAAAUACAUGUUGGUAAUUUGGGA